GAUGGGUUUCUUCCUACUAGAGUUCGAUUCUGUUCUUAACUGAAUGGAGUAGCUAUCUCUCGGGGUAGUCAAUUGGUUAUUAUAUCUCCACUAAUGAGCAGAGAGGAGUAAAAUCUUCAAAGUAAGUUAUGUGGGUCAAGGUAUGAUGAUUAAUUGGAGUUCUAGUUCAUUUACUUUGAGAAAAUUAGAGUGUUUAAAGCAGCCUCUUGGGGCACUGAAUACAUUAGCAUGGGAUAAUAAAAUAGGAUCUUCACAAUAUAUUUUAUUGGUUUAAAUUGCGUAUGAAGAUAAUGAUUAAUAGGGACAGUUGGGGGUAUUCAUAUUGGGUGGUUAGCGGUGAAAUGCUCGGAUCCAUUCAAGAUGAACUAAAGCGAAAGCAUUUACCAAGGAUGUUUUCAUUAAUCAAGAACGAAAGUUAAGGGAUCGAAGACGAUUAGAUACCGUCGUAGUCUU
rnacentral:rRNA from 1 species